AUUUAAAUAUUCCGAAAUCUAUGGAGAUGGAUUCAAUAGAUAUUUUUAAUUCAAUUAAAACUGAUAUUUUGUGUAAUUACAAGGAAAAUUGGAAAUCUCGUAUGAAAGGAAAAAAGCAUGUGUAUUUUAAUACACAAACAAUCUUCCCAGAUAAACAAUGGUUUAAAAAUUUCCAGUAUAUAGAUAGAAGACAUAUUACAACGUUAAUUAGAAUGCGUACAGGCCAUUGCUUAAAAAAAAAACCAUUUAUAUAAAAUUAAAGUGAAGGAAGAUCCAUUCUUUUCCGAAUGCAGUCUGUUUGUGUGACCUCUAUCCUAUGUGCCUUUGUGUGUGAUAUAAUCUUCCUUUCAGCGCGUCAUUUAUAUAUUUAAUAAAUAAUAAUAAUAACAUUUUACAGUCACAGGUCACAGGUUACCUUCAUAGAAGUUAGUUAUAUUAAAAUUUACCCAUUAUACAUUUUACUCAGAUAAGAAUCAGUGGCCUUGAUAUGGUUUAGAGCCAGUCAACAUCUUGGUCACUCCCAAAUUGAGCUGGCGGUUGCCUUGUAGCAGAGCCAUCAUAAAAAAA